rnacentral:rRNA from 1 species
UCGGGAAUUUUGGGCAAUGGGGGAAACCCUGACCCAGCAACGCCGCGUGAAGGAUGAAGUAUUUCGGUAUGUAAACUUCGAAAGAAUAGGAAGAAUAAAUGACGGUACUAUUUAUAAGAUCCGGCUAACUACGUGCCAGCAGCCGCGGUAAUACGUAGGGACCAAGCGUUGUUCGGAUUUACUGGGCGUAAAGGGCGCGUAGGCGGCAUGACAAGUCACUUGUGAAAUCUCUGGGCUUAACCCAGAACGGCCAAGUGAUACUGUCGCGCUAGAGUGCAGAAGGGGCAAUCGGAAUUCUUGGUGUAGCGGUGAAAUGCGUAGAUAUCAAGAGGAACACCUGAGGUGAAGACGGGUUGCUGGGCUGACACUGACGCUGAGGCGCGAAAGCCAGGGGAGCAAACGGGAUUAGAUACCCCCGUAGUCCCUGAGCGGGCUGGCAAGGCGCAU